CCUACGGGAGGCAGCAGUGAGGAAUAUUGGUCAAUGGACGAGAGCCUGAACCAGCCAAGUAGCGUGAAGGAUGAAUGAUCUAUGGGUUGUAAACUUCUUUUAUAUGGGAAUAAAGUGAUGAACGUGUUGGUUUUUGUAUGUACCAUAUGAAUAAGCAUCGGCUAACUCCGUGCCAGCAGCCGCGGUAAUACGGAGGAUGCGAGCGUUAUCCGGAUUUAUUGGGUUUAAAGGGUGCGUAGGUGGUUUAUUAAGUCAGCUGUGAAAGUUUGUGGCUCAACCGUAAAAUUGCCGUUGAAACUGGUAGUCUUGAGUAUAUUUGAGGUAGGCGGAAUGCGUGGUGUAGCGGUGAAAUGCAUAGAUAUCACGAAGAACUCCGAUUGCGAAGGCAGCUUACUAAACUAUAACUGACACUGAAGCACGAAAGUGUGGGGAUCAAACAGGAUUAGAUACCCGAGUAGUC
rnacentral:rRNA from 1 species